CCGCCCUCGGACGGACUGAGUGCACGCAGGCGGGGGCGCCACGUCCGCCCCGCUCCGCAGACCCCUCCCCGCCGAGCCCGGGGCCCCGCAGAUGGACUUCAUAGAAAGCAAAAUCCCGGCCUCUUGGAGUGUGCUCAUGGAUUCCAUCGGGAGCUCAAGGGCGUAAGCGCGCCGUCCUUCAGAAGGAAACCCCAGAAACUUGGCACCCUCUGCACCGAAGCUCCCCGGGAGGGCCCAAGCGCCGGCCCUCACCACCACCAUCUCUGCAGGUGUUCUGCCAGCGGCAAAAGCCGCGGCACCGUGCCCGCUUGCUGUCCAGGGUGACCAGGGCUGAAAGGACUAAGGAGGGCUUCUGGUGGGUGCUCUCAAGACGCUUGGAGGAGCCACCCACUUCUCUGCCGCAGGCUGGUUCUGUCUGCGCUAUCCACCGCACCCUGGACUGAGAGCACAGGGGACGGCUCCAGGUCCCUCUGUAGGUGAUGACAAGGACUCCCUGAAUGAUGGUAAGCGUAGCCCUGCACAGUGCUUGUAAUAAAGUAAAAAGUUACCCUCCGGAAGAAGAGACCAUAAUCACGUUUCUGAGUCCUCUUUGCCACUGUCACAGAAUUCCGGAGCCAGAGAGGCUCAGAGUUGGGAGAACAACUUCCAACGGAGUCCCCUUUCUGUUCUCCAUAAUUGCUGUUAAAUGCCCCCAGUCCUGUUCUUGAUGUUACCCGGGCCUUUACUUGCCCUUUGUGGGGGACUGGCUUCCCCUGUAGGUCAGCUCUGGUGGUCAGAGGGGUCCUGUGCUAGGCUGAAAUGUUUCUCCCUAUAGCUGCUCCCUGAGGCCCACACGGAGUACAUCUGCUGCUCUGCACCUAGUAGUAAAUUCUUCACAUGCAUGAUGGCCUCACCCCAGUGUCUGCUCCUCCAGUCGGAACACCUGAAGUCCUUUCAUAUUUUGCAUGAUGUCCUCCAGGUACACCAUGCUACUGGCUUAGUUUCUCUGCCACGGUGACAAUGACCUGGGUAACGGGAAGGCAGUCCACAGUGUCCAGGGUGCUAGCAGCAUUUAUAGUUUGAUCUGGGUGGUGAGUACUGUUGGGACUCAGAACAGUAUCCCUAAAGUAUUGCAUGGGAGGGGAGCAUGCUGAGCAAUUUGAUGUAAAGAAAAUUUAAAAGCCUUAAAAGCAAGUUUAGAAUCAAGCUUCCUGUAACCUUUCUCACCUUUUCUUAUUUGUUUGUUGAUUUAGGAGCUGGGGCUUUAACCCAGGGCCUCUUGCAUGCUAAACAUGCAGCAUUUACUCCACCACUGAGCCACACACCAGGCCUCCCCGAAACCUUUCUUGCCUGCUUCCUCAAGCACAGGGACUGGGCUCUGAGGGAUUCCUUUAUCAGCAUUAGGGCUAGACUGCAGAGGGGAACUCAGUUGCCUUGUAUCCUUACCCUCGAAAUCUCAUCAUCUGGCUCAGAAAAGGAGACUGAGGAAUGUCACCCAUGUUGAUGGACUUCCAUUACAAGAGAAUGUCAUUCAAACCCCAAGAAAUUGUCUCUAGGACGGUUGAUUACCUUAACCAUCAUUUGAGCCCUCAAAAUGAUCUAAAGCAGUCUGCAUGCUCCAUCUCCUCCUCCCCUAUAUAAGUUUCUGAAUAAAUCACUUGUGGGUAAUCAUACUCCUGUGAUUUUCCCCAUGCUGUGCUUUUCCCCUUUUGCACAUUAGUAAAUUUAUAUACUUUUCUCCUAUUUAAAAUUUUUUUUAAUACUGAAGAUUGAACCUAAGAAGUGCUGACCUUUAUCCCCAGCCCUUUUACAACAUUUUGAGAGUCUCUAAAUUGCUCAGUCUGACCUUGAACUCAUGAUCCUCCUGCCUUAGCCUCUUAAGUACCUGGGAUCACAGGUGUGUGCUGCCAUCCCCAGCUUCCUAUUUAAUCUUUGUCAAUUUAUUCCAGCAAACUUAAGAGGACAGAGGGAAAUCUCCCUUUACCCCUACACUAUCUCCUUAUAAACAUAUGUAAAAAUGUGCUAGUCUGUACAUUUGCUAUUUCCUCAUUUUAGUGUAAGUUAUACUGUAAUAAAGUAGUAAAUAAAAAUGUGAGGUGCUGCACUGUGAA